UACGUAGGGGGCUAGCGUUGUCCGGAAUCAUUGGGCGUAAAGAGCGUGUAGGCGGUCCGGUAAGUCCGCUGUGAAAGUCGGGGGCUCAACCCUCGAAUGCCGGUGGAUACUGUCGGGCUAGAGUGCGGAAGAGGCGAGUGGAAUUCCUGGUGUAGCGGUGAAAUGCGUAGAGAUGUGGAGGAACACCGAUGGCGAAGGCAGCCCCCUGGGAUAAGACUGACGCUCAUGUACGAAAGCGUGGGGAGCAAACAGG
rnacentral:rRNA from 1 species